CCUACGGGGGGCAGCAGUGAGGAAUAUUGGUCAAUGGGCGGGAGCCUGAACCAGCCAAGCCGCGUGAGGGAAGACGGUACAGUGUAUCGUAAACCUCUUUUGUCGGGGAACAAAGCCGGGGACGUGUCCCCGGCUGCGUGUACCUGAAGAAAAAGCAUCGGCUAACUCCGUGCCAGCAGCCGCGGUAAUACGGAGGAUGCGAGCGUUAUCCGGAUUUAUUGGGUUUAAAGGGUGCGCAGGCGGUCUGUUAAGUCAGCGGUAAAAUCGCGGGGCUCAACCCCGUCGAGCCGUUGAAACUGGCAGACUCGAGUUGGAGAGAAGUACGCGGAAUGCGCGGUGUAGCGGUGAAAUGCAUAGAUAUCGCGCAGAACUCCGAUUGCGAAGGCAGCGUGCCGGCUCCACACUGACGCUGAGGCACGAAAGCGUGGGUAUCGAACAGGAUUAGAUACCCGUGUAGUC
rnacentral:rRNA from 1 species